rnacentral:tRNA from 1 species
UCCCUAAAAGUCCAAUGGUUAAGACUUUGUACUUCCAAUGCAAGAGGUGCAGGUUCGAACCCUAAUCAGGGAA